GAUGAACGCUGGCGGCGUGCCUAAUACAUGCAAGUCGAGCGAACAGACGAGGAGCUUGCUCCUCUGACGUUAGCGGCGGACGGGUGAGUAACACGUGGAUAACCUACCUAUAAGACUGGGAUAACUUCGGGAAACCGGAGCUAAUACCGGAUAAUAUAUUGAACCGCAUGGUUCAAUAGUGAAAGACGGUUUUGCUGUCACUUAUAGAUGGAUCCGCGCCGCAUUAGCUAGUUGGUAAGGUAACGGCUUACCAAGGCAACGAUGCGUAGCCGACCUGAGAGGGUGAUCGGACACACGGGAACUGAGACACGGUCCAGACUCCUACGGGAGGCAGCAGUAGGGAAUCUUCCGCAAUGGGCGAAAGCCUGACGGAGCAACGCCGCGUGAGUGAUGAAGGUCUUCGGAUCGUAAAACUCUGUUAUUAGGGAAGAACAAAUGUGUAAGUAACUAUGCACGUCUUGACGGUACCUAAUCAGAAAGCCACGGCUAACUACGUG
rnacentral:rRNA from 1 species